rnacentral:tRNA from 1 species
GGUUGUGUACUUUAUCAAAAGAGUUAGCUUGCACCUAACAAUAGAGUGAUUUACUCCUCAACCC